rnacentral:tRNA from 1 species
GGGGUUAUAGCUCAGCUGGGAGAGCGCUUGCAUGGCAUGCAAGAGGUCCGCGGUUCGAUCCCGCGUAACUCCACCA